rnacentral:rRNA from 1 species
GCGUAGGCGGCUAAUUAAGUCAAAUGUGAAAUCCCCGAGCUUAACUUGGGAAUUGCAUUCGAUACUGGUUAGCUAGAGUGUGGGAGAGGAUGGUAGAAUUCCAGGUGUAGCGGUGAAAUGCGUAGAGAUCUGGAGGAAUACCGAUGGCGAAGGCAGCCAUCUGGCCUACACUGAGCGCNCGAGGUGCGAAAGCAUGGGGAGCAAACAGGAUUAGAUACCCUGGUAGUCCAUGCCGUAAACGAUGUCUACUAGCCGUUGGGGCCUUUGAGCCUUUAGUGGCGCAGCUUACGCGAUAGUAGACCGCCUUGGGAGGUUACGGUCNCCAGACCUA